rnacentral:lncRNA from 1 species
UGGCAUGAGUUUGAGCAGAAUAUUAACAAUUUGGAACACAAAUUCAGGGCAGUCCUAAACGACAAUUCCAAGAUAUAUGAGGUAUGGUAUAUUGUCUGCUUCUAUAGUCUAUACAUGGACUCCUGUGUUAUGUUGUAAUCUUACACAUUUAGGCCUUGUUUGGAUGUUGUUGGAUUCACUUCAAUCCAUGUGUGUUGAUGUGGGUUGGGGUGGAAUUUAGUUCAAAUUCCACUCUAAUCCACCUCAACACAUGUGGAUUGAUGUGAAUCCGACUACAUCCAAACAAGGCCUUACUAAUAUAUGUUUCAGCUUCUAAGGCCUACAAUGGAGGAGGCAAUAGCACUUACAGUAUUAUUUAUUUCUCAAAUGGUCACUAGACACGAAAGGGUGCUAGGCUAUAUCCCAAGUAAAUAUUCUCUCUUUCGUUUGGCAUGAAAACAUUGGUAGGCAACACACAGUCCGAUAUUCGUAUAUGCCUGCCGUGGCAUUGCCUUUUUGCAGAUACAAAGGGGAGACGUGCCACAAAGGCUUCAGAUGAAGGAGGACCGCCCGGUUCGAAGAUGGGCUUUGGCUCCACGUGAGAGUAGUGGCAAUUGAGAAUCAUGUUUCUGAGAGGAAUGCCGGGUAGGAUAUAUAGUUUGUAAAAUUAAGGAACUUGCAAAAAAAAAAAAACUAUACAUUGUGCCCCUGGCGGUAAUACACAUUUCCAAGCAAAGAUUUUAAUGCGUGUACAUAUAUCCUUUAUGUUCGUUGACCAAACGAUGUUGUUAUCACAUAGCCUUAUGGUUGACUAGUAUAUUAUAUUAUUGCUCGUGCUAAUGUUGCGAUGGUUUUUAGGAAAAAAUAAAUCAUAAAACUAAAAUAACUAGUCUCUAUAGGUUUUUUUGGUUCCUACGAUUGGUAACACAUCUCUAACAUUUGGAUUUCAAGACUAAAUACUAAAGCCCUCGGUGCUAGACCUGAGCAUUUUACGGAUCGAGUCAGGCCAAAAAAAAGUCUGGUUAUUUCGGGUCGAGAAAAAUCUCGCCCUUGACCGUCCCACUGGGUAGGUCGGCGUUUUUUUAGGCCGGGAUCAGACCAGGUCUGGGCCUGGGCAGGCCGCCUGCAUAUUUUAUAUAAUGUAAAAUAGCAAAAAGAUAAGUAUUUUAGGCUAUGCUUGGACCAAGAUAUUGAGCUUAUUUGCCGAAUUUACCAGACAUUCAACAAUGUUUUUUUCUCACAACAAAUCAGCGAAUAGUACUUUCGGUCAUGACUUAUCAGCCAAGUGAACAGGC